rnacentral:rRNA from 1 species
UACGUAGGGGGCAAGCGUUGUCCGGAAUCAUUGGGCGUAAAGAGCGUGUAGGCGGCUCGGUAAGUCCGCUCUGAAAGCCCGGGGCUCAACCCCGGGAGGCGGGCGGAUACUGUCGGGCUAGAGUCCGGAAGAGGCGAGUGGAAUUCCUGGUGUAGCGGUGAAAUGCGCAGAUAUCAGGAAGAACACCGAUGGCGAAGGCAGUUCUCUGGGCCGUAACUGACGCUGAGGAGCGAAAGCGUGGGGAGCGAACAGG